rnacentral:rRNA from 1 species
GGUAUUUUGACCGUGCAAAGGUAGCAUAAUCAUUAGUUUUUUAAUUGAAAGCUGGAAUGAAAGGUUGGAUGAAAAAUAAGCUGUCUCUAUUUAAUUUUAUUAGAAUUUUAUUUUUAAGUUAAAAAGCUUAAAUUUAAAUAGAAGACGAGAAGACCCUAUAGAGUUUAAUUUAUUUUUAAAAUAAGAUUAUUGGUAUUUAUUAUUUUUAUUAUAAUAAUGAAUUUAGUUGGGGUGAUUGAAAAAUUUAAUAAACUUUUUUUAUAUAUGAACAUUAAUUUAUGAUUAAUUGAUCCUUUUUUUAAGAUUAAAAGAUAAAAUUACCUUAGGGAUAACAGCGUAAUUUUUUUUGAGAGUUCAAAUCGAAAGAAAAGAUUGCGACCUCGAUGUUGGAUUAAAAUAAAAUUUUGGUGUAGAAGCUAAAA